UCCCGUUGUUCCCAUUGUUCCCAUUCCCAUUGUUCCCAUUCCCAUUCCCAUUCCCAUUGUUCCCAUUCCCAUUCCCAUUGUUCCCAUUCCCAUUCCCAUUGUUCCCAUUCCCAUUGUUCCCAUUAUUCCCAUUGUUCCCAUUCCCGUUGUCAUUCCCGUUGUUGUUCCCAUUGUCAUUCCCGUUGUCAUUCCCGUUGUCAUUUCUGUUGUUCCCAUUCUCAUUCCCGUUGUUGUUCCCGUUGUUAUUCCCAGUCCGGCUGUUGUCUCCGACACCUCUCGCUGGCCGGGAACCACCUGAGGGACAGCGACGUCCAGGAGCUGACGGGGUCAGGGACACCUGGGGACACCUGGGGACA
rnacentral:lncRNA from 1 species